AAAAAUUCAAGCUCCUGUUAAUAAAAUGUGCAAACAAUAAGAUAGUAUACUGUUUCCUUAUUUUUAUCUUUGAAAUGAUUUUCUUACGUAGUAAUUUGUCCUAACUAGCACCUUUAGAUCAUGAUUAUAGUGAAGUAGUUGUGUCAAAUCAAGUUCAACAUUGAAUUAUUAGCUAAACUGUCAUUUCAUGACAAGGUUUUAGUUUCUCUUUUGUUUCUAGUCAAGCCAAGUGUCAAACAUUGGGUAAACAGAUAUCAUUUCUGGUAAAGUGCCCUAUAUCUUAGAAAAUUCAUUGUUCUACUUGGGUAUCAUAAGUAGCAUGCUCACACAAGGGUGUAGGGUUUAGAAGGUUGAUUAACUUUCAUUCCUGAAUCUCAAUUUGUUAUCAUAAAAAUCUCUCAACUUCAAUUACGUUAAAAAAAAAAAAACUCUCUUAAUAGGUAAAAAGACAUGAAAUUACUAUAUUGUUACUCUCUAAAAAG
rnacentral:misc_RNA from 1 species